UAUAGUGCUUUCAUCCUUGGUCAACUACCAGAUGUUGUUUUUUUGAGCAUCUCGGUAUCGGGAAUCCGGUGAGAAUCCGGAACUGACGCGCAGCGGUAUUGGAGAACGAGCGUGGCAUCAAGACACUGGCAAGGAGCCCCUACAGGGGCUCCGAACCGGGAAGUCGCCACGCAAGGCCGAAUCGAACGAUUCACGCUCCUGAGUCCGAAGACCUGCCAGGGAUAUAACUGCACC
rnacentral:ncRNA from 1 species